rnacentral:rRNA from 1 species
UACGUAGGGUGCGAGCGUUAAUCGGAAUUACUGGGCGUAAAGCGUGCGCAGGCGGUUGUGCAAGACAGAUGUGAAAUCCCCGGGCUUAACCUGGGAACUGCAUUUGUGACUGCACGGCUGGAGUGCGGCAGAGGGGAGUGGAAUUCCGCGUGUAGCAGUGAAAUGCGUAGAUAUGCGGAGGAACACCGAUGGCGAAGGCAGCUCCCUGGGCCUGCACUGACGCUCAUGCACGAAAGCGUGGGGAGCAAACAGG